CCCUUAGAUGUCCUGGGCCGCACGCGCGCUACACUGAUGCAUUCAACGAGUUUCACCUUGGCCGAGAGGCCUGGGCAAUCUUUUAAACCUGCAUCGUGAUAGGGAUAGAUUAUUGCAAUUGUUAAUCUUGAACGAGGAAUUCCUAGUAAACGCAAAUCAUCAAUUUGCAUUGAUUACGUCCCUGCCCUUUGUACACACCGCCCGCCGCACCUACCGAUUGAAUGGUCCGGUGAAGCCUCGGGAUUGUGGCCAGUUCACUUUAUUGGGAGUUGGCUGUGAGAACUUGUCUAAACCUUAUCAUUUAGAGGAAGGUGAAGUCGUAACA
rnacentral:rRNA from 1 species